UAAAAUGAUAGCUUAUCUUCAUCUAGAGGACGUGAGGGAGGUGAUGCAGCAGCUUCCCAACGAUGAUGAAGAAUUAAAAAUGGAAUACAACAAAACCAGGGAUUGGUUGACAUCCACUGCCUCUAUGUCAACACUCAACAAAAACAAGAGGAGAAAUAAAUAGCUUAAUCUACUCAGUUUGGAAACAGUUGCGGUUGUUAGUUAACGUAAAGAAGCCAGGACGUCUCUAUUGGAGGAGCACAUAAAAGGGACAUGAUCAAUUUCGUUGUAGAACAUUUCUCCCACUCCAUUGUUGUCGACUAUCUCGGAGGCCAAGUGCAGUUGGGG